rnacentral:rRNA from 1 species
UACGUAGGGUGCAAGCGUUGUCCGGAAUUAUUGGGCGUAAAGAGCUCGUAGGCGGUUUGUCGCGUCUGCUGUGAAAAGCCUGAGGCUCAACCUCGGGCUUGCAGUGGGUUACGGGCAGACUAGAGUGCGGUAGGGGUGACUGGAAUUCCUGGUGUAGCGGUGGAAUGCGCAGAUAUCAGGAGGAACACCGAUGGCGAAGGCAGGUCACUGGGCCG